GCCGAGGUAGCUCAACGGCAGAGCAACGCUUUUGUAAAGCGUCGGUUGGAGGUUCAAAUCCUCUCCUCGGCUCCA
rnacentral:tRNA from 1 species